rnacentral:rRNA from 1 species
ACUCCUACGGGGGCAGCAGGGGGGAUAUGCACAAUGGGGGAAACUCUGAUGCAGCGACGCCCGCGUGAGGGGAAGAAGGUUCUUCGUAUGUAACCUCUAGCAGCAGGGAAGAUAAUGACGGUACCU